ensembl:lncRNA TMEM198B transmembrane protein 198B (pseudogene)
CGGCCGCCGGCGACCUGGGCCUACUUCCACUUCCGGGGUCACCAGGGAAGAGACGGGAAGGAAAAGAAAUAGCGGUUGGCUGAGAGGCAAGCCAAUCCAGCUAGGGCUGCGUCGACUCCAAGGAGGCGGUCCUAAGGAAGUACUGGCCCCGCCAUUUAAAGGCCCCUCCCUCCGCGUGUGGGAAUGGGAUUCCCGCAGGUUGCACCGCAGGAAGCAAGACAAAACCAGGGAGCUCAGAAGAGUCACUGCCCUGAUCCCUUCCGUGCCGGCAGCUGCGAGGACACAGGCCCCUUUGUAUCCUGCGGUGCGGAGGUGGAGCAGAGGAGAGGGUGCCCCGGCUGGCCCCCUCCCUCGCCCCGCAGCACUGCCCCUCCUUUCACAGCAACCCACGGCCUCCCCCGCGCUUGACCCAGCUGGCGAGCUGCCCCUUAUACCUGGAUCCGCCCCUCGGGUCGCAGCUCCCCAGGCCCGAUCACCGAGCGGUGCCUAGGAACUGGGAGCGUAACUUGGCUCGGCUCAGAACUUUGCCCGUGAGCCAAAGAACACUGAACUCAUCUACCUGCUGCUUGACAUCUCAUCUGCAUACCAAGCUAUUUGGUGGACGUCCACAAGCGCCCCCGCCCCCACGUAGACCCAGUUGGGUCCCCGUUCCGUCGGUCCCCUCCUCUGCACACGCCUCUAGCCUUAUACCCCGUCUUGAUCCGAAAGUUUUUCCACCCAUGAACCCCCAGUUGGCGCUCCCCGACCAGCAAAAGCCCCUUCCCUGGUCCACGAUCCCGACCACCCGGUUCUCCAGGAGACAAUACUCCAAUUCUCUGGAAAGUGGAAGAAACCAAGCUGAAGCUAGGGGGGCGCUGGGACCCCUAUUGGGGCUUUGAGAGCUUCCGGUUGUCAUCUCCUAAGUAUUCGGAGACCCUUCUCCAAAACUCUUGGGGUGACCCUCAAGACUCUUACCUGCUAUAUAGUUGGGGGUCUCUGGUCCUGGACUAGAGCAGUAGGCAACCUGGGUCCCCCCACACACACGGGAAAGAAUUGGAGGGGCCUGCCUUGUGAUGUCACCCCUCCUCCCCCCACCGCGCGCACGCGCGCGCGCACACACACAAACACAAACACACACCCCAACACACACGCCCUGUCCCCUUUCUCCACCCUGCAAGCUAGUUGCAUUUAGCUCACAGAGCCUGGGCUGCGACUUGAAAGAGUUUAGGCAGCAACAGAGUGACCCUGGGGGUGCUCUUGACCGACAGCCGCACCCCCGGCGUCUAGGACCUCCGAGCAGGGAUGCAUCUGGAGGUCUAGGGAAGCACUUCCACCCCCUCCUCUCCUCAAUCCUGGCAGGAUGUGCCCGAAAUGCCAGCUCCUCCUUGGUGUUCUCCUUUCAGGAUUUGAAUUCAAAUCCCAUUGGCAGCCCUGAUACCGCUGGGGGAAGGGUGAGCUGGGUCUUACUGGGGAUCUGGCCAGCCUUGGGGGCCCUUGGAGCCCUGGCCCAGUGGAAGCUCGUGCCUGAGGAACAUGGAGGCCACGCUAAUGAGUUACUUCCAGAGUCUUCAAGAGUGCCAACUGGGACCAGGACCCCAGACCACAGCCCCCCACACCGUCCUGGACCUGGAUUCUGACUGUGGUUCCACUGUACCCCUCACCUUAAUCUCUGGUUCUAACCAGACCUGAGCCUAGACUUCCACUUUUUCCCUUACCCCUGUGAGGGCCUGGGAACACUAGGUGGGCAGGGUUUGAGCCCACAGGACCUGCACACAAACUUCCCCACCUCUUGGACUUGGGGACAGGAUCUGUGCCUCAACCCAGACCAGCUUUGUAGGGAUAUGUUCCAAGAACAGAGAAGAGUCUUAUGGGGAAGGGGGAGGAAGGGAAGUAUGAAUAUUUACCUCUGACCAAUAAUAGAGGUGCCCUGGUCCCCAAAGAAAUUGACUCCCGAAUUCCCUCCAAGCCUUACCCAUAUAGCUUUUGUUUGUUUGUUUGUUUUCAGACAAGGUCUUGUUCUGUCCAGUGCCGUGGCGUGACCACAGCUCAUGACAACUUUGAUUUCCCCGGCCCAAGCGAGCCUCUCAUUCAGCCUCCUGAGUGGCUGGGACCACAGACGCCACACACAGCUAAUUUUUAUGUAUUCGUUUUUAUUUUUUUGCAGAGACAGGGUCUCCCUAUGUUGCCCAAGCUGGUCUUGAACUCCUGGGCUCAAGUGAUCCUCCUGCUUCAGCCUCCCAAAGUGCUAGGAUUAUAGCCACCGCACCUCGUCUUGAAAUAGCCUUUUAAAUGUUCACCUCAGCUUGCCUCACAGUGGUAAAAAUAAGCAUUUUUUUGUUUUGUAGGAUCAGGGAGCUUCCAAGGCAUUUGAUACCUUUUUGAUGGGAAGAAGGGCUCUGAGGAGCUCCAAGAUACCCCAACCUCCAGGCCCUUCAUUAGGGGGUAGUUGGGUUUCUGUUUGGCCUUUCCCCCUGGGCCCCAUAGGCUUAAACUACCCCCACCCCCACCUCCGCCUCCUACCUCAGCUGGGAGCACUGUCUUCCAUGGGGCUUCCACUUCUCUCCUCAACCUGGGGAAGACCACAGGGCAGUGCCUGCCUCAGGACCUGCCUUCCCCAAAAGCUGGCUUCUUGCUCCAAGGAGAGAGCAUUGACCCACCUGCCAGAGUCUUGCCUUUUGCCCAAAGGAGCCUGGUCUUCAGGGCUGCAUAGGAUGCAAGUGCCUUCUCUGCUUCUCACCGUGGGUGGCACUAAUUUCCUCCUUAACCAGAACUUUGUUCCAGCCACUGACCCAUUCUAACUCUUCCCCCUCUGACUCUCCUGCGCAGGGUCUGUUCCUGGUUUCCCAGAUGCAUAAAGGAAGACAUAUCCCUCCCCUGGGCAGCAAGGCUACAAUGGGAGGGAGGGAGAACAUGGGAGCAUGUGAAUAAAAUGGCAUUAAAUACUG